rnacentral:rRNA from 1 species
GCGGACGGGUGAGUAACGCGUAAGAACCUGCCCUUGGGAGGGGAACAACAGCUGGAAACGGCUGCUAAUACCCCAUAGGCUGAGGAGCAAAAGGAGGAAUCCGCCCAAGGAGGGGCUCGCGUCUGAUUAGUUAGUUGGUGAGGCAAUGGCUUACCAAGGCGACGAUCAGUAGCUGGUCCGAGAGGAUGAUCAGCCACACUGGGACUGAGACACGGCCCAGACUCCUACGGGAGGCAGCAGUGGGGAAUUUUCCGCAAUGGGCGAAAGCCUGACGGAGCAAUGCCGCGUGUUGGUAGAAGGCCCACGGGUCAUGAACUUCUUUUCUCGGAGAAGAAAAAAUGACGGUAUCUGAGGAAUAAGCAUCGGCUAACUCUGUGCCAGCAGCCGCGGUAAGACAGAGGAUGCAAGCGUUAUCCGGAAUGAUUGGGCGUAAAGCGUCUGUA